GUAGUCAUAUGCUUGUCUCAAAGAUUAAGCCAUGCAUGUCUCAGUACAAGCCAAAUUAAGGUGAAACCGCGAAAGGCUCAUUAAAUCAGUUAUGGUUCAUUAGAUCGUACCCACAUUUACUUGGAUAACUGUGGUAAUUCUAGAGCUAAUACAUGCAAACAGAGCUCUGACCGGAGACGGAAGGAGUGCUUUUAUUAGAUCAAAACCAAUCGGUGGCAGUUUAGUUUCGGCUAUACUGUUUAUCGCAUUAUUUGGUGACUCUGAAUAACUUUUGGCUGAUCGCACGGUCUCGCACCGGCGACGCAUCUUUCAAAUGUCUGCCUUAUCAACUGUCGAUGGUAGGAUCUGCGCCUACCAUGGUUGUAACGGGUAACGGGGAAUCAGGGUUCGAUUCCGGAGAGGGAGCCUGAGAAACGGCUACCACAUCCAAGGAAGGCAGCAGGCGCGCAAAUUACCCACUCCCGGCACGGGGAGGUAGUGACGAAAAAUAACGAUACAGGACUCAUCCGAGGCCCUGUAAUCGGAAUGAGCACACUUUAAAUCCUUUAACAAGGAUCUAUUAGAGGGCCAGUCUGGUGCCAGCAGCCGCGGUAAUUCCAGCUCUAAUAGCGUAUA
rnacentral:rRNA from 1 species